UUCUCCUGGGAAACGGGUGGUAAUGCCGGAUGCUCCGACUCCUCGCAUGGGGUGUCGGGAAAGAUUUCAUCGGUAUGGGAUGGGGUCGCGUCCUAUCAGGUAGUCGGCGGGGUAACGGCCCACCGAGCCUACGACGGGUAGCCGGCCUGAGAGGGCGACCGGCCACAUUGGGACUGAGAUACGGCCCAGACUCCUACGGGAGGCAGCAGUGGGGAAUAUUGCACAAUGGGCGCAAGCCUGAUGCAGCGACGCCGCGUGCGGGAUGACGGCCUUCGGGUUGUAAACCGCUUUUGAUCGGGAGCAAGCCUUCGGGUGAGUGUACCUUUCGAAUAAGCACCGGCUAACUACGUGCCAGCAGCCGCGGUAAUACGUAGGGUGCAAGCGUUAUCCGGAAUUAUUGGGCGUAAAGGGCUCGUAGGCGGUUCGUCGCGUCCGGUGUGAAAGUCCAUCGCUUAACGGUGGAUCUGCGCCGGGUACGGGCGGGCUGGAGUGCGGUAGGGGAGACUGGAAUUCCCGGUGUAACGGUGGAAUGUGUAGAUAUCGGAAAGAACACCA
rnacentral:rRNA from 1 species